rnacentral:tRNA from 21 species
GCCGACAUAGUAUAGUGGUAAUACAGAGCAAUGGUAAUGCUCAGCGCGCAGUUCAAUUCUGCGUGUCGGCACCA